rnacentral:tRNA from 1 species
ACCUGGGUGGCUCAGUUGGUUGGGCGUCUGACUUCAGGUCAGGUCAUGAUCUCACAGUUCGUGGGUUCAAGCCCCACGUCAGGCU